GGGCGCUCAGGAACCAGCAGUUUCCCAGCAGUCCCUGAAGGAUAUCCGAGGGUCUGGGUGUGCGGAACACUGACCACUUCACCGACCGGUCUUUGAAGAUGUUGCAGUUGAUUUCAUGGGGCCGCAACCACUGCUUCACCCUCUGCUGCACGCUGUCACCUUCUGGGAAUCCCACAGAUUUGGGGCCAGGGUGGAAACUGUCAUCUACGAAAUUGACUUUGUUCUCCCUGCAGAAGGUCACGAUGUUCUCCCACAGGGCCUUGGCCUCUCCUUCAUCUGUCUGCCUCCUCUUUUCCAC
rnacentral:lncRNA from 1 species